rnacentral:rRNA from 1 species
GCUUUAAGAUACUAUUUGUUUCUCGGGUAGGUAGUAGUAGAGGUAAUUGCUCAACUAGCCUAACAUCCCGUAGUCGAGUCUGAAAGGUCGAUCGACCACAUUGGAUAUGAACAAAAUUCAAUGCGUAAUAGUACAGCAGUGAGGGAUAUUGGUCAAUAGCCGAAAGGCUGAACCAGCGAUUUGAAGGAAUGUUCUGAAUAGAAUAAUGAUUAUGACAAUUUUCUAUUCAAGUGUCUUGACAAACACAUGUGCCAGCAGUCGCGGUAAGACAUGAUAGACUAGUGUUAUUCAUCUUUAAUGGGUUUAAAGGGUACCUAGACGGAAGUUCAAGCCUGCAGAGGGACGGAAUUUCUAGAGUUUUAUGGGAGAAGGGGAGUACUACUGGUGGAGAGAUGAAAUUUGUUGAUACCUUUAGGACUGGUAAAGGCGAAGGCAACCUUUUAAGUAAAAACUGACGUUGAGGGACGAAGGCUUAGGUAACGAACAGGAUUAGAUACCCUAGUAGUCUUUGCAGAAAACGCUGAAUGCCAUAGGUUAGAAAUAUAUUUUAGUCUAUAAAUGAAAGUGCAAGCAUUCCACCUCAAGAGUAAUGCGGCAACGCAGGAACUGAAAUCAUUAGACCGUUUUUUGAAACCAGUAGUGAAGUAUGUUAUUUAAUUCGAUGACCCACGAAAAAUCUUACCACAACUUGAAUACAGGUGUUGCACGGCUGUCUUAAGUUAAUGUCGUGAGAUCAUGGUUAGAUCCAACAAUUAGCGUAAGCCCUUAGUUUAUUUAAAAAAUAUAAAUGAUAACCGGGAAUAAGACAAGUCAUCAUGGCCCUUCUAUUGUAAAAAAGUUAAUGUUGUGGGCUAUAGACGUGCCACAUAUGCCUAAACAAAAGGAUGCAAAAAUGUGAAUUUAAGCUAAUCCCGAAAAUAGGAAAUAAAAAAAUAUGGAUUGUAGUCUGAAAUUCGACUACAUGAAAAAGGAAUUACUAGUAAUCGUGUAUCACCAUGGCACGGUGAAUUAUAUCUCAGAUUGGUACUAACCACUCGUCAGGCGCCGAAAAUUGUAUGCGCAAUAAGUUUGGUAAAUUCAAAAAAAAAGUAUAGGCAAUUAGGCUUAUGGCAUUUGAGAGUUUAUCUUCGUAUGCGUGACUUUAAUUGGUGUUAAGUCGAAAUAUGGUUCGUGUAGCGGAAGUUGCACGG